AUUUUUUAUGGCCUGCUCAGCAUGAUUCAGUAAGAGACAUUUAGCAAAUAAGAUUGGUAGACUGUUAAGGAUCUUAAACAGUGUCUUAGCUAUUGUGUCACACCAAUGCUUUUUAAACAGGAAAAACAGUAUUCUCCAGCCCUUUUUAUUCAAAAUAUUAGCAGUCUGAAGUUAUGUUAAACAGUUAAUGGUUCUGCUUGUUUGUCUCAGUGAACCCCAGACCUUACACAUGAUAGGCAGGUGCCUUACCCCAGCCAGCUAGAACAUCUAGGAAAAGGGUUGCUACACCACAGAAGUCAAUCCAGGCAACCCAAACCUAGCACCCUCCAUUGGCCUGGCCAGCAGCUGAGCAGUGCAGGUAAGGAGCUUUUAAGGAUGAACACCCUGUUCUUAUCAUCUUCCAUCUAGUGCAAUCUCAGAAGCACGGAGUGCUGUCCCACACUGGGUGAUCCCCAAGCCUGUUCAGACUUGCUUUCUUCUGGGGCAAUGAUCAAGGGCUGGAAGCUAGGAGAUCAAAGCCUGGUUUCUUCUCUUAGUCCCACCUCAGCUCUGCCUAUGAAGCCAUCCCUCCAUCUGACCUCCAAAGAGCAGCCUUUGUUCAUUCCAUGCAGAUGUCCUGAAUGCACACCCUGUGCAAAGGGGCGUAAACUGAGCACUUGUGGUUUCAUCCAGUUCUGGAAGAAGUGGCUGUGCAAUGGAAGGAGCCACUGUGAAUCACCAGAGUGGGGGGAAAAAAUGCAGAUUGAAAUAAACAGAGAGGCAACUGGAAAUGACGAGCAUGAGCAGGCGAUGACUAAGGGACAGAUCAGUGCGUCAGACAAGGAGCUCUUAUGGAGGUGGCUUGGAGGUGGGCAGGAGACCGGAAGAAAGAGCUAUCAUUACACUUUCAUGAUUGUGUGCCCACGUCCACCCAUGCAAAAAAAGGAGGCACUGGCAUGUUGGAAGUGCUUUUUGCUGAAGAGAUUCUGUCCAGGUCCUUGUGUAAAGUGACUCGACUCUACACGUGUAUACUCUGAGUCACCUCCAGGUAACUUAAACCAAAUGUUAUGUAAAUAUUUUUUCUGCUGUAUUGUCUAGGGAACGAUGACAAAACAAAAGUCUACAUGUUCAGCACAGAUGGAAGACUUUUCUUGAACAUUUUGGUUGAAUCCAUAAAUGUGGAACCUAUGAAUACAUGUGGAAACUGUAAAUAACUGGUAUCGCUUUCCUGUCAAAUUGCCUGGAAAAUGUUAAGACUUGGAUUCCAUCAUCUGAAUAUGUUCCUGAGUAGCUAAAGUAUAAAGAAAGAAAUCUGGGUGACAUGAGGCAGUGGAGCAAGGGCUCUUAUUCCUUAGUACAGGAAAGUUCCAGAACAUUCUAUUUCCUUUCCUUUGCCUUAAUCACAUUGUUUGUGACUCCAGGUGAGUCAUUUCCUCCCCAGUGUCCCCACUUCAGUCAGGCCUGAACUAAGAAGAAUUCUCACCAAACCUACCAUAAGCUUCAGCACAGCUAAACAGUGCAAUCUUAUGCACACGAGUUGAUUAUUAUCUUUAAGAUUGCCUCGAGAUUGCCUCUCUUCCUUUUCUAUCUCAGCCCACCCAAUGUAGUGCUCUGCCACAGAGUCCCAACCUUGUUUAAAAAUGGUUCUGUAGCCAUUAGCUCUUGUCACA
rnacentral:lncRNA from 1 species